GAUGAACGCUGGCGGCGUGCCUAAUACAUGCAAGUCGAGCGAACGGACGAGAAGCUUGCUUCUCUGAUGUUAGCGGCGGACGGGUGAGUAACACGUGGAUAACCUACCUAUAAGACUGGGAUAACUUCGGGAAACCGGAGCUAAUACCGGAUAAUAUUUUGAACCGCAUGGUUCAAAAGUGAAAGACGGUCUUGCUGUCACUUAUAGAUGGAUCCGCGCUGCAUUAGCUAGUUGGUAAGGUAACGGCUUACCAAGGCAACGAUGCAUAGCCGACCUGAGAGGGUGAUCGGCCACACUGGAACUGAGACACGGUCCAGACUCCUACGGGAGGCAGCAGUAGGGAAUCUUCCGCAAUGGGCGAAAGCCUGACGGAGCAACGCCGCGUGAGUGAUGAAGGUCUUCGGAUCGUAAAACUCUGUUAUUAGGGAAGAACAUAUGUGUAAGUAACUGUGCACAUCUUGACGGUACCGAAUCAGAAAGCCACGGCUAACUACGUG
rnacentral:rRNA from 1 species